GUGCUCGCUUCAGCAGCACAUACACUAAAACUGGAACGGUACAGAGAAAAUUAGCAUGGCCCCUGCACAAGGACGACACGCAAAUUCGUGAAGCGUUCCAUAUUUUU
rnacentral:snRNA from 1 species